CCUACGGGUGGCAGCAGUGGGGAAUAUUGCACAAUGGGGGAAACCCUGAUGCAGCGACGCCGCGUGAGCGAUGAAGUAUUUCGGUAUGGAAAGCUCUAUCAGCAGGGAAGAAAAUGACGGUACCUGACUAAGAAGCCACGGCUAACUACGUGCCAGCAGCCGCGGUAAUACGGCGGGGGUCAGCGUUAACCGGAUUUACUGGGCGUAAAGGGGGCGUAGACGGGUGUGCAGGCCAGUAGUGAAAGCCCGGGGCUCAACCCCGGGACUGCAUUUGGAACUGGGGGGCUGGAGUGUCGGAGAGGCAGGCGGAAUUCGUGGUGUAGCGGUGAAAUGCGUAGAUAUUAGGAGGAACACCGGUGGCGAAGGCGGCCUGCUGGAGGAUGACUGACGCUGAGGCUCGAAAGCGUGGGGAGCGAACAGGAUUAGAUACCCGGGUAGUC
rnacentral:rRNA from 1 species